rfam:Aedes albopictus isolate Foshan contig292723, whole genome shotgun sequence.
UAAACGGUCCUUUUUAGGACCACCGAAUCUAAUUCCUCAAGAGUUG